GCACAAUGGAAUCAAGUGGGCAGCUUCCAAUGAUGCGGAUGCCCACGUCCCAUUUCCACUGGUUUUGGUGCCAUUGGUCUGGAGUUUUGCCCAGGCGUCAGGACUUUGAAGGAUUUCCUGUGUGAUUCCAGUGCAUAGUCAGGGUUUAGAACCACCGGUCUCUGGGUCUGGUCUCCACAUCUAGAAUGCAGUUUCUUGGCCCAGCAAGUCUCCUAUUUCUCUGGCUCUCACCCACCUUGACUAGGAGAAGGGAUCACCCACAGCUGUGCUUUUCUCUGUCUCCUGGCCCAGCCUCAGCUUGGAUUCAGGAAGCUUAUAUCGAUUCUAUUUCAAGACGUUUUCAUCCGUGUUGUCUGUAACACAAGAGCCAUGCUUGAGAAAUUCACAACCCAGAGAUCAACUCUACCAGACUUACUAUGUGGAAGAAAGGUGGUGAACAUCACUGGACAAUUCAAAGAAUGAGCACCCUGCAUGAAAUGAACCCGUCUGGUCUUAAGGGAAUGGCCCUCAGUGCACUUGAAGCAACCAUCUGGUGAGACCAGGAAUUCAGAAAGGAGAGCAGAGUUUAUGGAGGGGAAAGAACGGGCUCAGAUCACUUCUUUCACUGUGGCUUCCACAAACCAUAGCGCAUAGCAUUUGAGAGCACUACGUCUGGGGCUUGCAACCUGGAUUUGAACCCUGGGUCUGCAGCUUGCCAGCUGGAUAUGUGUAGAUGGGCCAUCUACUCCUGGGUCUGUCUGCCCAUCUGUAAACGGGACAGUAGCACUCACCCUUGAAUAUUUAAAUGAUGUCUGCACGUGUCUGGUGCUGGGCACGUAGUAGUAAUAAUUCGAUAAACGUUGGAAACAAAAUGACAACCGGAGAUUGUUAUUCAUACUGUCCGCUGAGGAUCCAUGCACUUUUCUGCAUAUGCUGCACAUCAAUAAAACACUGAAAACAAAACAAACACAAAAUCACCUGUUAGUGAUGCUCGGAACAAAUGCUAUGGAUGUGCUGAGCACUCUUGUUCUCUGGUGGAAUGAGGGAUUUGUUGUCGCACUGCAUCACAUGACUUUAGGACAACGAUGCCAUUGGAACUGUUAGGGUUUUAUUUUACUUCUUUUCUGUACCCUGUCUGACCUCCUCAGAAAGUACACCCAAAGAAACAACUGCUCCUCCCUCACUGCUUAGCUGUCAAAACAGGGUCACAGUCCUGAAUAUUCAUUGGAAGGACUGAUGCUGAAGCUGAAACUCCAAUACUUGGCCACCUGAUGCGAAGAGCUGAUUUAUUGGAAAAGACCCUGAUGCUGGGAAAGAUUGAGGGCAGGAGGAGAAGGGGACAACAGAGGAUGAGAUGGUUGGAUGGCAUCACCGACUCAAUGGGCAUGAGUUUGAGUAAACUCCGGGAGUUGGUGAUGGACAGGGAGGCCUGGUGAGCUGCAGUCCAUGGGGUCACAAAGAGUCGGGCACGACUGAGUAACUGAACUGAACUGAACUGAACGCGGGUGUGACUCGGUUCUGGGGCUUUUGUCUCCUCCACCUAAGUGGUCUUCCUUCUCCAGGGCCCUGGGAAUCCUCCAGGCUUCACUAAGGGGCUGUUCUGUGAAGUGAGAGAAUGCACACACCUCUAAGCAUUUCCAUCCAUUUGCCUCUCUGGCCUGAGGACAGUAGGAAGGGACCCUGAGGUGAAAACUUGGGCCCUAGGGUGGACUUCUACUUCAGCCUGGAAAAAUCACUUGCUGGGGCAAUGAGCCUUAGCUAGGAAAUAACUUCCUGGGGGUAAUGGGUCUGAGCUCUAAGCCCAUUUAUUUGAUCCUGGGGCUUGCGCUUGAGUCUGGGAAAUCACUUCUUCAGCCAAAAGUCCUGCAUCCUCAGCCUCCAAACUUGCUUUCCUAAGUCAGGAUCUUAGCCCCUGCAUCCUAGGCCAUUGCUACUGAGUGGACUGGGUCUGACUGAACAGAGGUUCUGUUCAGAAACAGACGUUGUUUCCCUGCAGCAGCAGAGUCUGAAAGGCUGCAAGUUCAGGCUUGCAGUUGGGUCGGGUGGUGGCAGGAGGGAGGCAGAGCUGGGUAGGAAUCUUCAGCAUUUGGACUCCACUGACUCCAAACAAGCUGUGCAGCUGCUGCAGAGAGGCAGGUGGUCCGGAGAGGCACCUGUGCCUGAGGCAAGGGCUCCUGGCUGGUGAGGAUGCUGCCCAAAGGGCUGGUGGGCCAGGCCCCAUCUUGAGGCACCAGUACAUGGAGCAAUGGAAUAUUUCCUGCCGUAUCAAUAAACAAGGAUGUCACAGUCACCAGCGAUUGCAGCCACCACAGAUGACGAGCCAGUGAUCCCUGAGGGAACUCAGGAAGGAAGGAACACCUGCCAUCUAGCUGCCAUCAGACUGCAGCCACUCCCUAUGCUGAGGCUUGAAGUAGUACAAGAUGUGAAAACACAGUUUACUGGCUCCAGAGAGCAGAGGUGCGUAUCAAAGGAAUGAUUUCAGUGAGCUCAGACUCUUGAAAAGCAUUUCCCAUAUAUAGAAAAGAGCUAACUUGAGUUACAUGGUUUUCUUUAAGUUGCAAUAAUCAUUUGAUGUUCAGACCACCUGUCUCAGGCUGUCCAGGAAACCCGAGAGUGGGCGUGGGCUCUGCCCUUUGUCCAUGGCCCUUUAGAGGGCUAAAUGGCCCACCUCCUCUCAUCAAACUAGUGCUUCAGCGCUAAGUUCAACAAAUACAUAUUGCCAAGCUGUGUUUGGGGGGACUGGGACAGGAAAGGGGCCCCACUGACCCACCCCAGCUCUGCCUGUCACCCCGGCGGCCUGACGUCCUUGCUGAGACUUUCUGGCCAGGCCGCCUUUCUUGAUGGCCCUGAUGUGAAAACUGAAGGACAGCAGUGGCCGACAGCCCCAUCUCUGCGACGGGCGACUCAAGAUCUGGCUGUGAAAGACGUACGCAGACAACAACAGGGCGGCGGACGGCCCCGAGUGGACUCCCCAAGUGGCAAAGAUCCGGCGGCCUGGCUGAUCAAAGAUCCCCUGGGAGUGGCCCUGUUCCCCCACACCAGAGUGGCCCACGUCCUCGGGCAGGUUCACAAAGUGUUUCAGCCCUGGAUCACAGGGUCAAGAAGGCAGAGAGGACACGGACAGCUUCCCCUUACCCCUUACAGAAGCCUCUCCCCUGUAGGGAAAGGGGUGCAGGUACAGGGAGGGGUCAGCACCUUGGAGCUGAAGGCCAUUGAGGGGAGUUGUGCAGACUGUGGGCCAUUCCCUUUCUGGGGAGAUCUGAACCUGAGCUGGGUUCUCCAGCCUUCUUAAAGAACUUCUUGGCUCCAAAUCAUAAUGAUGAUAGCCAUCAUUCAUUCAUUCAUUUGACAGGUAUUUAAUGAAUGCCUACUCUAGACCAGGCACCAUGUGGAAUGCUAGACUCACAAUGAAAAGGACAGAGGCCCUGGACCUACAAGUUUACAGCCCUGUGGAAGAGAUACGACAUAAGUCAAAUAGCCACAGGGUAAAUAUCAAGUUACAAAGUGUAUUGGGUUGUAUAAGAGAUAUAAGGAACAAUGGGAAUGUAAAACAAGUAUAGUAUAGUAUGGCAUAGUCUGGAGAACGAGAUAAAGCUUCCAGACACCGAAAACUGCAAGUGCAAAGGUCCUGAGGCAGCAGGCCACAGAGCUGAGAGAGGAUCCAUGGGGAUAAUCUGCAACUGUCACCCCAGGAUGUAAGAAACAGCUUGAACUCUCAGAAGCCUCCUGAUAGAACUGGCAUGAAGCACUCUUGGACUGUCAGUUCUUAGCAAGUAUCUAGCCCAGUUCCUCUUGUACAGAUUGGAAAACUGAGGCUCAGAGAGGGGAAGAGCCUUGCCCAGAGCUACACAACAAAUUGGGGGGAGAUUUUGGAAUUGAACUUGGGAUAUCCAUAAUUAUCAUAUGAUAAUUAUAUGACCCUUUUAUACUAAUUAUAAUUAACAUAAUACUCACUCAAUAUUCAUAAUCAUCUUGACUCAUAAUUUGCCCCUCACUGCAAGUUCGUGUCAUCAUCCCAG
ensembl:lncRNA